UUUGGUGUACCCUCACCAUUAUGAGUGAGGGUACACCAAAAAAAUUUGGUGUGCCGGGUACACCGAAAAAUUACUCUUCCAGGAGGCACAACCUGCAUCACUCAUUCAACUCUCUCUCUAUGAAAUCCUUCUCUCAUUCAACCCUCUUUCUCUCCAAAAAACAAAAAAAAAAAAAAAAAAAAAAAAAGCCCAAAAAUAGCUUUGGAGCACCGAAGACGAAUUGAAGUACGAGUGCUCCAAUUUGAAGAGUCUGAUUUCAGAAUCCCGAAGCAGAAGUCGGUGCUUGGAAUUGUUCUAGCCGGUCAGCACUUCGGAAACCCUCUAACUGCAGGACCAUGUGCUGUUUCCAGCGUUUGUCAUUCAAUCUUGGGUAGUGCCUUGGCAGGAUUCUGGAGACAGACUGUGCCAGCCCAGAAGCAAGAUACAAAUGUCAUGUAAAAUCUUUAGACAAGCAGUACAAACUUAAGUCUUUCUGUUUUCAUAUGAGCUGAUAUUUGUCGGAAUUUCUUUUUGUCCGUAGUAGCUAUGGAACAGUUGGAUUUACACUUUCUAGUGCUGAAUAAGUUGGACAUGUAUUGGUAGGUUGUAUCUUUAUUAAAGAGAUGAUGUAAAUGUGAUAUAAAAAAUGUGACAAGUAUACACUACUCAUUUUUGUUUUUC